rnacentral:rRNA from 1 species
CCUACGGGGGGCAGCAGUGGGGAAUAUUGCGCAAUGGGCGAAAGCCUGACGCAGCGACGCCGCGUGAGGGAUGAAGGUCUUCGGAUCGUAAACCUCUGUCAGCAGGGAAGAACGGUCACUGUGCUAAUCAGCAGUGAAUUGACGGUAUCUGCAAAGGAAGCACCGGCUAACUCCGGGCCAGCAGCCUCGGGAAUACGGAGGGUGCGAGCGUUAAUCGGAAUUACUGGGCGUAAAGCGCUCGUAGGCGGUAUGGCAAGUCAAGGGUGAAAUCCCCGCGCUCAACGGGGGAACUGCCUUUGAAACUGGCAAGCUGGAGUGUGUGAGGGGAUAGUGGAAUUCCAGGUGUAGGGGUGAAAUCCGUAGAUAUCAGGAGGAACAUCAGUGGCGAAGGCGACUAUCUGGCACAUAACUGACGCUGAGGAGCGAAAGCGUGGGUAGCAAACAGGAUCAGAUACCCGAGUAGUC